GGAGCUGUUCCUAUUCGGCCAUCUUGGCUCCUCCCGAGCACUUAUUUUCAAGGAGUCAUCAUUUAAAAUCUUAUUUUCUUAAUAAGAACACAUACUCCUUAAGAAGACAUACUUUUUUUGUACCCUUGUCUCUCUCAUUUAUUCCUUCUCCCUCUAUUCAUAAUUGACAUUAAUUGAACAUUCUUUGUUUUAUUAAUCUAUAUAAAAACAAUGUCACAUUUCAAGUGUUUAUCAUGUAAGCAAUGUUAUAUCGACUUAACGUGGUAGGCAGAAUAAUAGACCUUCAAUGAUGAUGGCCCUAUCCUAAUCUCUGGAACCUAUGAAAAUGCUAUCUUCGUGGCAAAGGGGACUUUGCAAGUGUGAUCAAGUUAAGGACUUUGAGGUAAAAGGUCAUUAAUUAGGAGAAGAUUUAUCUCAAGGAAACGUAUGAUCUGUGGGUAGUGUGGUCAAAGAUGACUUCUGCAGAUAAAAACAUCAUCUUGUAUGCAAGAGAUACGACCCUCUUUUAUAUAGUUGAACUGCAAAGACUACCUUACUGUUCACUCCCAGAAUGGCAAAAAGAUAGAUGAAGAUGGAGAAAUGUGCACCUAACACUGCAUCUUUAUGAGCAAAGGAUUUUCUUUGGAAAAACUGUGAUUAUAUGAAAAUCAUAGGACAUUUUAUUUGUGACUACAGGGCGUGGUGAAAACCUCUGCUACCAUACUGGAUACAAGGUCUUUAACUUCUCAGCACCAGUUUUAUGGAGCCCCCACCGCUAAGCAAGUAUGCAAAAUGCAGUGCUGCUUCGCAUUGGGAAAUCCCCAAUCUGGUGCCAAGAGGUUCAUAAAUACAGUAAUGGACCCUCUUAUGUCAAAAGAACUUUGGAAAAAUGCAGACAUUAAAACAGAAAAAACAUUGCUUGUUGUCUUUUUUCUUUGGAUCUGUAGAGUUACCAGAAGAAAAAGAUGGGAACAGUGGUAAAGUUAGUACAUUUCCUAGGAUUUAGAUCUACUGGAAAUGUCUGGACCCCUGCAGGCCUCUAGCCACAAGAUUGCAUCACCUAUCAUAAAACUCCCUGGCUGUGCUUUUCUACUGAGUUCACAUUUACAGUACUAAUAAUGCCUUCAGUACAAGUCAUUUCCAGGGAAUUAAAUCUUUGCAGUCAGUGGGUUAAAUCCCCAUGAAAUAACCUGCAGGUGACCCAGUUGGAUUGAUCUCAAGUAUAGAAUUUCAGAUCAAUAGUUGCUGUACUUGGAUUCUGAGAUAUAAAACAAUCCCUAGUGUUUUUGUUACCCCAAUGAGUAUUAUCAGACAAGGGAUUACUAUGGCAAUUGCAGGGUCUUAUGAUAUUAAUGGGGUUUUUUUUUUUUUGGUCCAAAAAGAAGUUAUUUUAAAAAGUAAAUGCCUUCUGUUCACUCUUCUUGGACUAUGUGAUAACUUUCAAACAUAUAAUAAAAAUUAAAGUAAUUCAGACCGCUCCAGUGGUCAUUAAUUGCUUGUACUAGAAAUAGCAUUUUCUCCUCAGAUGCAAAGUAUUCCAGUUGGAUGCAAAAUUCUGUUUGGUCUAACCACCUUUUAACUCUUCCAUGAAAGAGUAACAGAUCUCCCAAUCUGGGGCCAAAUAAAAAUGUUAACUCUCCACAAACUGGGCUUGGGGGUAAUAAAAGAGAAAAGGGAAAUAAUGUUAUGACAACAUGUACCAUGACAUCAACUGACAUGAUGUUUUACUUGUGUGUAAGCAAAAAACAGAAACCAUUUUAAGUAUUUACACCAACAAAGGGAAUUAAUUUGAUGCAGACAAUUGGUUACCCAUAUAAAGAAGAAGCUGAGAACCAGAUAAGGAAGAGUGGAGUAACCAAGAAAGUAGACACAUCAGGAAGCCACUACCUUCUCCAGGCUGGAAAAGCAAAGAAAGGAGAGUCUGUGUCACCAGAUGGGAGCUGAAACCAGAUGGGCCCUGUCUGGUCAAAGCUGAAGCUGUAGAGGAGAAGGAGCCUCAGGCUGAAAAGCUACCUGAGGCAGAUGGGUGGCAAGGGUGAACGGGUUGGGGAUAAACUCAUAAACUGCUGGCCUUUGUCUUCUCUCUCUUUCUACCAUCUCCUUCCAGUGGCUUUGACCGGGUGCAACAGCAUCUCAAGAGCACAUGUAAGUUUGGAGAUUUCUCAAAUAACUUAACUUAAAACUGAGCUACCAUUGGGCCCAGCAAUCCCAUUACUGGGUAUACAUCCAAAAGGAAACAAAUCUUUCUACCAAAAAGACACAAGUACUUGCAUGUUCAUCGCAACACUAUUCACGAUAGCAAAGAUAUGGAAUCA
rnacentral:lncRNA from 1 species